ACGAAUCCCUUCCCCCCGCAUCCCUAUCUCAAGGCAACCACCGAUCGGAUUCGCUGAAUCGAGCGGAAAUAGCGGGCAAAUGGGCUUGGGUUUGUUCGCGAGAAUUUUUGAUGACCUAUUCGCGAAUCAAACGUUACUCCGCAGCAAUGGGUAAGCGAGGGGCGAGGUUUGUAGAUUGGAAUCGCAAAUUCCCGUGGAUCGCGCGUCUGUGAUGUGGUUUAGGGUUUAUGUGGGCGGUUGUUUGCGAUACUGAGUUCUGAUCAUGAAAGGCUCUCAACCGGCCAAAAAGGUUGUUUCAGUUGGAAUUGAUUUGGUUGGCCCGGAUCGAAAUUAUAGCUUAGAUUCUUUUCCAGGAUGAUGGAUGCAAAAUGGCUACUGCUGUGCAGCAUGCGUGAUUUUUUAGUAUGAAUUUUUCAAAUUGGGGGCAUUUUUGGGUUGGGAUUAUCACUAACUUUGGCGAUCUGUACUGCUUGCACAUCCCCAACUUAGUAAUCAGUAUCAUCUUGUUGUAUCUGUUUUCCACUACGAUACUGUAAUUUGGUAAAACCACCUCACAGAAUAGCACAAAACAUUAAGAACCAUUGCAUAACUGUGUCUUAUGCAACUAGAGUAUUACAACCGAUUUUUUGUAAACUGAUUCUUUGUCUGUGAUAUAUGGGCUAUGUGAACGAUAAGCUAGUAGUAGUGUAGGGCGUAACCGUGUAAGACAAGCAGAUUAGGAACUACUGUGAUGUAUUACAUUUGGACUAGGAUGACAAACACAUGAGGAUCAACGUAAUCAAGCUAGUAUAUAAAAUCAAAAUAUCCUGUCUGCGAAAAAUAUUUCCAAGUGUCCUUUAUUGAUCCUACUAUGGUCUAUGAGCGAGGAUGCCUUAUAUCAGAAACACCAUUUCUUUUGAAUGGCAUAUGUUCUUCAGAGAAUCUUUAUUUUGCUUACCAAGUUUAUGCUGACAUUAUUUUACAAUAUGUCAAUGGUUUAUUCAGCAGAUAUGUUCAUCUAUUGUCCUGAUUUAGUUCUUAGAUAAGAUAUGCCUAGGCCUAGUUAUUACUCCUUGUUCUAACAGCAUCUUGGAUUCGACUUGCAAUCUAUGUUUGGAACUUCCAUAUAGCAGCUUUUCACUUGAGUAGGAUGCAGAUUAUUCAUCUUUGAUAGUGAUGCGAGCCAUUUGAACUAAUCAUGCUGCUUCACAAUUGUGCAAGGUUACCAGCAGGAUGAAAUCAAUCAAGGAAUCCAGCAAUCAAGAGGUGAGGAAGGUGCUCACAUAUGGUUUUCAUGACUCAAAGAGUUUCAAAACAUGCCAAGCAGGUACAUCUUCAUUUACACUUUUGAAGAUAGACCUAGUUCAACUGCAAGAUAUGGAUAUUUUCCAGCAGUUCUCAGUUCUCAGAGUCCAGAUACUGUACUCAGACCAUCCUUACGAAUCAUAACUAGCAUGGUUUUCUAGGACCAUGUGUGUUAUUGACUACGGAAAUGAAAAUAGUGAUGAAUUUGAUGUGCUUCUUGGGGUUGAAAGUACUAGAUCGAUGUCAUGUAUUCUUCACCAUGUCUCUAAUGAGUUCAUUCUUUUAUAAAUCGGAGUAGGCCGAAAGCUACUGCAUGAAUAUAGCGAAGAACAUCAAAUAUACGGCUCUUUGAUUGACUGGAAUGUCUGCCUUUCUAAUAGACACAUAGAGGACAUUUGAGCACCUACUUUUCAUCAACCUUUCAGUUUUCCUUUUUUGCCUUUUCAGUGUUUCUUGUUUCCUCUUUCUUGGCAUCACAGUAGCAGCACAAUAUUACCAUGGUAUAACUUGUUUAGUGUGUUUUGUUGUGCCAGGCUAACCAGAACAUUGUGUUAACUGAUACUCCUACUUAAGAAGACUUCUCAGAAUUUUAUCUAGAGUAACACAAACAAGUAUAAACUUAUUGCAAAAAAGUAAGUUGAUAAGCCUUAUCAUUGUUGAAGCAGUGCCUUAACGUCAAAUGUCACCAGCUGAAUCAUUUUCCCAUACUUUUCCUUAUGCAUGGGUCUUGGUGAUGUUUAAUUUAGUUGAGAUACAUCUGAAAUCUUUUAAUUUUCAGAUGUGCAUAGUUUGAAUUAGUUAGUAACUGUUAGUAUGUCAGUCCAGAACCCCAUCUGAUUAUUUUCUACAGUCUGUACUCUGUAGACAAACUGCCAUGUAUGUAUAUGCUUUUUAAUAACUUAAACCAGGAAAAUUCCUGACCUUCAAAAUUGUGAAGAUGCGAGCACUUAAAAACAGAUGAAAAUGAACGAUCGCUGUAUAUUUUCAAUUUUUAUUUUAAAUUGCAAGAUUCAGUUCUCUUGCUAAUUCUUCUCUUUCACUACAUUUACCUGAAGUCACCAUAUCAUCUUCAUCACCCUAGGACAUCUGGUGACACUUGGUGGCUCCUUCUGCAUUUUUCAUCAAAUUCUGAAAGUAUUAAUAAGUUCUCAGAGACGCCACCUGCUGUUCAACCAGUUGAAAUAGAGAGAUUGUUAUCGUGUGCCUUGGAUAAGAUUGUCUUGCGGGUGCAGAGGAUAGUUAAAUGUCCUUGUUGACUGAUUCUAUUGUGCUUAAUUCCAAUUAUGCAGUGCCCAGCUGAGUUCUUUCACCAUUGAUGUUCUUUCCGAUCUCAAUGCAUUUCACCGCUCCACCGUACAUUCCCUUCAAGGUGAUUCUUCAAGGUAUCUACAGUUCUACACUAUUCUGAACCCUGGCGGAUUCCCCCGCGACAAAAUUUGACUUCAAAUGGAAGCCCCUCUUGAGAAGCCGCUGCUCUUCCUGAAAAAAAAAAGAAAACAGAGUUGGAACACACACAAUGAGGUCAACAUGUGACAAGUGUGAGAACAGUAAAAGCAGUGCGCAGCCGUACGUGCACGCACGCGUACACGCGUAUGGCAAGGUGUACGUGGAAAAGGGUUGUUUCUCCUAAGCAUGUGACUCUGGAUUACUGCUGCUUCUCCAAAAUAAAUAAAUAAAUAAACUUUCCGGAUGACUACUGUUUCGUCUCACCUGCGCAGCGACGCGAUGAACUCCUGCCGCGUCAUGGACUUCAUCUCCUCCAGCUCCGUCUCGUAGUUGGCAACCUACAGUCAUCGAUCGGUGCAGGUAAAUUUAUCACUAGGUAAGUACGAAUGUACGAGUACACGUAUCGUAGUACAUCGUAUAAUACAUGUAUGAACGUUGACUGUAUAUAACUAGUACUCUACUAUCUCCUCAGCGACCAGGAUAAGCACAUACAUGCAUGCCAUAUGUGUAAAGAUCGAAUAAUGUAUUAAUUGAUGGGGCUGGCAAUAAUAAGUUGACUGUUGCAACAAGUA